rnacentral:lncRNA from 1 species
UCAUUAUAAAUCUGAAUGUAUUUCAAAAGAAAAGGUUAGGCAAAAGAAUAAAGAGUUUGUUCAAGAGAAAAUUAGGCUACCACAUUAGGCUAAAAGGAAUCUGAUUCACCCUUUUGCCUAUAGAAAGGGACCGAAACCAGUUUGGGUUCCUAAGAAUAACCCCUAAUAUCUUUUUGCGGGUCCAAGUGAAGGGGAGCAGCCAAAUAUGGUACAUGGAUAGUGGCUGCUCAAAGCAUUAGACAGGAAGUAAAAACCAACUCCUUUCACUUGAAGAAAUCAAAGGAGCUGAUGUCUCUUUUGGAAAUGGGAAGAAAGGUGAGAUCAUUGGGGUUGGAAAGGUAGGUAAGGAUGAUUCUCACUCUAUUGAG